ensembl:lncRNA LOC102555670 uncharacterized LOC102555670
GCAGGUGCCCGCAGCUCACAUCUUAGAUCGUUGAUAGCCCGAGGGUCUAAUGCCUCAGCAGUGACUCCUAAAGGACAGAGUGGAGUGGAAACUUAAGGGUUCCUUGGAAAGUCAGUUGUGCUGGAUGCGUGAAAAGACCUGUGAGGAAGAAUUCUUCACUAACAACACACAUGUGUCGGUCUGCCUUACACUGUGCAGUUAGUCGAGCUCCAUUUGUUGGGACUCCAUAGAGAAAAACACAGAACCCGUGCUGAGGCAAGACACAUGCGUCACGUGGCCCUGAACAAAGGCGGUGAACUUUAUCCGGCAGUAACCUAAUCUCCUGGAUCGUUUACCAACAACACUCAGAGUGAUCUCCGGGAUUACCUUGGGCUUUGGCCAGCACCAGGGAGACUGGGCUGAACAGAAGUUUCUGGCUCUGUGUGGACCACGUUCUCUCCUAGCGUCAGAGCUUUCCUCAGAGUUCUGUGAGAGCAGUGUUAACUGUGGACAGUCCUGGACUCACAUCACCCCAGUUUGUUGCCUCAGAAGACAAAACUCUCCCAGGAUCUUGAGAUGGAUCGAGAUUGAGAGUCCUGAGUUCAGAGCUCUUAAUGGAACGGGCAAAGUUCUAAGGAGAGAAGCUAUGGAGAUGGGGAAAGGAAACUCAGGUGGAGCAGAGAUGGAGGCACAAGCCAAGGCCUCUCAGUCCUGUUAGGAUCAGUUGGUUAUGGCGGCCCCAGGAGAUGAAUGUAUGAGGACCCAGGUUCAAUUUCCAGCACAAUGUGGCAACUUAAAAGUGUAACUCCAGUCCCAGAGGAGCUGAUGCUUCCUUCUGACCUCAGGGGCCACCGGCAUGAAAGCGUAGGCAAAAGCACCCAUGCACAUAAAAGAGCUCACACCAAAUGAGAGGACUGGAGAGAGGGCCAAGUCUUUUUAAGCCCAAGAAGGAACCUGAAGGUUUCUCUCCCCGGCCAUGAAUGCUGCGCUCCAGGCACUGCUGCAGCACGGACUGCCGAGGAGCUCCGCACAGCAGACACCACCCCCACUUAAGAAUUAAAAGCAUUGUUUUUGAAAAAAAGGAAAUCAACUUUAUUUUCUCUACAUUAAAAAAAAAUAGAACCAGC